rnacentral:rRNA from 1 species
CAGCCGCCGCGGGAAUACGUAGGGGGCAAGCGUUAUCCGGGAUUACUGGGUGUAAAGGGAGCGUAGACGGUUAAACAAGUCUGAAGUGAAAUGCCGGGGCUCAACCCCGGAGCUGCUUUGGGAACUGUAGAACUGGAGUGUCGGAGGGGUAAGCGGAAUUCCCAGUGUAGCGGUGAAAUGCGUAGAUAUUGGGAGGAACACCGGCGGCGAAGGCGGCUUACUGGACGACAACUGACGUUGAGGCUCGAAGGCGUGGGUAGCAAACAGGAUUAGAUACCCCGGUAGUCCCUGUCUCUUAUAC